UACGUAGGGUGCAAGCGUUGUCCGGAAUUAUUGGGCGUAAAGAGCUCGUAAGCGGUCUGUCGCGUCGGCUGUGAAAACUCGGGGCUCAACCCCGAGCCUGCAGUCGAUACGGGCAGACUAGAGUGCUGUAGGGGAGACUGGAAUUCCUGGUGUAGCGGUGAAAUGCGCAGAUAUCAGGAGGAACACCGGUGGCGAAGGCGGGUCUCUGGGCAGUAACUGACGCUGAGGAGCGAAAGCGUGGGGAGCGAACGGG
rnacentral:rRNA from 1 species